rnacentral:rRNA from 1 species
UACGAAGGGGGCUAGCGUUGCUCGGAAUCACUGGGCGUAAAGCGCACGUAGGCGGCUUUCUAAGUCAGGGGUGAAAUCCUGGAGCUCAACUCCAGAACUGCCUUUGAUACUGGAGAGCUUGAGUCCGGGAGAGGUGAGUGGAACUCCGAGUGUAGAGGUGAAAUUCGUAGAUAUUCGGAAGAACACCAGUGGCGAAGGCGGCUCACUGGCCCGGUACUGACGCUGAGGUGACGAAAGCGUGGGGAGCAAACAGG